rnacentral:rRNA from 1 species
UACGUAGGUGGCAAGCGUUGUCCGGAUUUACUGGGCGUAAAGCGUAUGCAGGCGGACCGUUAAGUAGGAAGUGAAAGGUUGGAGCUCAACUCUAACACUGCUCCCUAUACUGGCGGUCUUGAGUGGCGGAGAGGAAGACGGAACGACACGUGUAGCGGUGAAAUGCGUUGAUAUGUGUCGGAACACCAAUGGCGAAAGCAGUCUUCUGGACGCAAACUGACGCUGAGAUACGAAAGCCAAGGUAGCAAACAGG